AAGAUCACAAAGAAAAUUAUAAUUCUUUUUUUUUUUUUUUUUUACAAACACAAAUACAUAUACAAGCACUCACCUAAGCAGUUUAACUGUGAUCAGGCUACAAAGUAGCAAAUAUCUAAAGUGGUCAAACGAAAAGCACAGUGUAGGCUACAAAGACCACAAAUUUUUAUGUCCACCCAUAAAAUUUAACUAAUACACUAGUACCUCCAAAGUACCAGCGCUCACUAAAUAGGCAAUAUGCCACAAUAUACUACAAGCUAUACAACUAAACUAGAAGGUAUUCUGAUAAGCAAAAAUGUUGUCCAACUUCUCUAUCUAACUAUACACACAAAAACAAAACAAAAAUCCUAAAUACCUACGCAAUCUUCAGUGGCUUACUCAGCUCGAGGCCUCUCACGUGCCCCCUCCUGAGAUAUCCACCAAAAUAAAAAAAACAGUCGACUAAACAACCAGACAGACAACCAUAGUUGCCUACCAGAAUACUCACCAAAAUGUUGUACCCUUUCAAAAGUUCUGCAAUUCACACUAAACACUAAAGUCCGAUUUAAUCAAAUUAUUAAUCGCGGACGAGCCUCCACUAAUGUUACGGGCGCACGGACACCACCCUUAACAUCAAGGAGAGACGCACACAGAUCAGCUCGUGUCAAAGGUAGGGGUAUGCUUGUGUGGCAGAUUAGUUAGAUCCUCCCUGUAGUGACGUCAUGUUAUUGGUAGCCUAUCGUCCCGCAGGGAGGUGUGUAUAAAUGGCUGUUUGGUGCGGGCCGGAUGUGCGUCAUCUGUUCUGUGCCUGCGCUCUUCCUGUUUACCGGCAUUCAACAGAGGUCUGUGGUUAAAACACAGCCGUGUGGGCAUUUUAACACCGCUUGUGUCAUUUUGUGGGGCUUUGUGUACACUGAAGAGUCUAUUGUAAACAACCGUUACGUGCGGUCUGGCUCGUUACACUGCCUAGUCCCAGGUACGUAAGAUUUAGUAUAUUGCCAGAGGUUUUAGGUGAUGUGGUGUGGGGGUCAGCUAUGUUUAUCUUUACCGCAGCAUUCCCGUGUGUUUACCGUUCGAGUGGGGACAUCCAAUAUAUGCUGUUUGGCAUCUACUUCAGUUCUAUCCCGUGGAUACUGACGUCAGCUCUGCUUUCUGGUGUGGCAAGCGGCUGCGUUAUUUGGAGCUGUGUGUCCGACGGCAGUGAGGCUUUCCUUCACCGUGUGCUGUGUUAUGCUGUGUGAGCACCACUGAUAAAAUCACGGGUAUUGGAGUGAGUGUGUGUGUGCGUGUGUGCACUUAGUGUGAUUCUCCUCUUUUGCUCCCUUUCUUAGCCCAUUUGAUGCCAAUAGGCUACAGCUCCGAAUUAAAUGUGAAUCCUUAUUGUGGAUUGUGAUUUCCAGCUUAGUAAUUGGCUGGGUGACUAUUAUUCCUGCAUUUUAAACUUUUGUACUAAUAAACAAACUCUAUUUUGCUA